UUUGGUUAAAACUUUGAUGAUGACGAAUUAUAGUACUAGUUUUUUGGACCAACAAGGGAUUAGAUUAUUACAAGCGAAAAUUUGUUAAUGUAUACCAUCCAUAUAUUUUGAUGUAUGUUACCAAAUCAGGAAUUUUGUCAUAGAAGUAAUGCAGUGAUUUCGAAAUUCAUGCUGAUAUUGUUUAUAUGCAUUGGAAUGACAUAUUUACUG
rnacentral:lncRNA from 1 species